rnacentral:rRNA from 1 species
AACGAACGCUGGCGGCAUGCCUAACACAUGCAAGUCGAACGAGAUCUUCGGGUCUAGUGGCGCACGGGUGCGUAACGCGUGGGAAUCUGCCCUUUGGUUCGGAAUAACAGUUGGAAACGACUGCUAAUACCGGAUGAUGACGAAAGUCCAAAGAUUUAUCGCCAGAGGAUGAGCCCGCGUAGGAUUAGCUAGUUGGUGUGGUAAAGGCGCACCAAGGCGACGAUCCUUAGCUGGUCUGAGAGGAUGAUCAGCCACACUGGGACUGAUACACGGCCCAGACUCCUACGGGAGGCAGCAGUGGGGAAUAUGGGACAAUGGGCGAAAGCCUGAUCCAGCAAUGCCGCGUGAGUGAUGAAGGCCUUAGGGUUGUAAAGCUCUUUUACCCGGGAUGAUAAUGACAGUACCGGGAGAAUAAGCUCCGGCUAACUCCGUGCCAGCCGCCGCAGUAA